UGAUAUGCUAUUUUAAUUCGAAAAAAUUUAUCUGAUUAAUUUUUGUCGAGUGAGGAUGCCUAGCUGUGGAAGUAAUGAUUUUUUCUGCAUGGGAGAGGGAUUUCGGAAAGUUCUUGUUAGUAACGUCAAUGAAAACGUACUGACUAAAGUAUUUUAAAGAGAUUGGCUAUAAAAGAAAUUAUCAGCUUUUGAUUUGGUUUAAGAGAAGUUCUGUGGGAAGCUCAAAAGAUGUCGUGAGUGGUGAGAGUGAGAAAGGAGAACUGGCACUAAUGCUUGUUGGUGAAAGUGAGAAAAGAGAACUGGCACUAAUGCUUACUGGAGAGAGUUAGAAAGGAGAUCGAAGUUAUUUUGGUUGGAGAUUGAUGGCAUUAUUUUUACUUUUACUCUGCAGCAAGGGCAGAUAUCUUUGUGGAGGUUUGAGGGGGGAUCUAACAUAAGAAAAUUUUACUGUGAGUUUCAAGGAAAACUGUUUUGCUGCAUGUGAACGCCGUGACAUUUGCCUAGCCUAGCAACUCCUGCUAAACUUCAUCCACCAAAAUGAAAUAUAUUUAAUUUACUAACAAAUAUUGGAAUAAACAUGAUAAUUUAAUGUCAUCGUAGAUAAUGAAUGCUUUUUACAACAUGUA